AAUGAAUGCUCUUUAGAAAUUCAGCUGGGAGAACACCAGAUCAAACAGGUGGCAGGGUGAAGAGGACUUCUUCAACAAGGCUGUAGUUGGGGGAAGCUGCAAAAGGCAAUUUCCAUGCACCUGGAGGACUUGUGGAAAGACUUGAAAACAGUUGUACAGUCCCUCUGGCUAUUACAUAAGUGCUAUUGCCCAAGUUACAUAAGGAAGCACAGGGUUGGUCAAGACCGUGACCGUGGCUGCCGGUUCGAAUGGCCAAUGUCUGCUGAAGACGGCGCAGCCUUCCAGGAAUACAUCUGCAUCAGAAAAAGACUAAGUCGAUACUAAUGAAAUACAAAAGGGAGAAGACUAUUUUCCUUUGACAAACACAGACUAAAGACUUUGAAAUGAAUAUAUGAACACAGACCCUGCUAUUGAAAGUGCAGUGGGCAACCACCGACAACAAAAAAUGAAAUAAUUGCAUACUCAAUCUUAACAGUUUCUAGUUGCCUGGGAUAUACAUGAAAAUCAAGACUCAUGUUAAUCCUCUUGGGAGUGUUUUUUUUCCAUUUUUUCUGUUCAUAAAUAUUUUGGGAUAAAAGCAAGUUUCCACACAGUACUGGCAUGGGGCUUAGCAUAAUCAAAUACCAAAACAUCCCCAGAAACAGAGAGACAGUAAAUAGAAAUAACAGGAAUUAGCAGCGGUGAUAUGAAAAGCACUCCUGUUUGACUACU